GACAAAUACCCACCAUUUGCUUCAAAGUGGAUGGAACUGGAGGGUAUUAUGCUGAGUGAAGUAUAAAACACAAAGGGAUAAUCAAAAAACGUUGCGUCAUCCUCCCAGUCUGGAUUAUUCAGCUCAACCUUUUGUGAAGUUUUGUUACCUGAUAGAAAACUAUUCAAAAUAUCCUCCAAGAAUUCCUCCUCUUCAUUUCCUGAGAAGAGCAGUCCAGAAAGUCAAUAAUCUCACUAGACAAAAAAGAAUACCUAAGGUAUAUUCCAUCUUGAAUGAAUAGGGUUUAACCCAACUGUGACCACUUUGGAUACAUGGCAAUUGUGGAAGGACAGCACUCCUUUCUCCGAGAAAACCUGGUAUGAAUUGUUCCUUCUACCUAAAAUCUUCUAUCCUUCAUCCACCUGGUGACAUCCUGCUUUGAUCCUUCAAUGUCCAACCCAUAUCAGUUGCUUUCACAGCCUCCUCCAGGUCU